UCGGAUUGUAGUCUGCAACUCGACUACAUGAAGCUGGAAUCGCUAGUAAUCGCAGAUCAGAAUGCUGCGGUGAAUACGUUCCCGGGUCUUGUACACACCGCCCGUCACACCAUGGGGGUCGGAAAUGCCCGAAGCCGGUGACCCAACCAAAAGGAGGGAGCCGUCGAAGGCAGGUCUGAUAACUGGGGUGAAGUCGUAACAAGGUAUC
rnacentral:rRNA from 1 species